GCAACAAGCCCGCCUGCUUCUCGGGCCAACAACCUCAGACCGCGCCCGCCCGGCGCGCAGCGACCCCGCGGUACAGCGAGGACCCGGGCGGCGCCCCUCCGCCGGGACAGAGGUGGCGAAAACCCAGCCCCGAGCCCAGGGGGCCGAACAAAAGCCCGAUCCGAAGCAGACCUGCCGCCCGGCGGGUGCUUACACGCCAAUAGCAAGGGACGAGGCCUCUGCCAAGCGCAGAGCGCGCAGAGGUUUGGUGGCAGCCUUCGUUGGGGCGGGUCCAGCUGGGUCCCCACUCCGCCCCCGAGCGCUUGCACCAGGGCCGCGGUCCUAGUGCCGGGCAGGUGUGCCUUCUACAGUCUGAGGGGAGAAAAAAGCUCAGCCUUGCACCUAGAAUUUAUAUGAGAAUCACCUGAGGGUGUAAGACCCCCAGGCCUUACAAUCAUAUUAUGAUGGGUCAGCAAAUCAGCAGAAUAUUUUUAAACUCAUUGGUCAGCUACCAAUGUCGCGGGGGAAUUCUGGCAGCAAGGUCAGAGCAAUUUGUGGUUUUUCUUGGAAUUUAGUGCGAGGCGGGACAGGAGAACUGUUAUUAUUUGUUAUAGUUAUUUCUCCGAGAACUGCUAAUCUUGUUUUCGCAGCUUUAGACUUGGUCUGGUCAUUUUGACUGCUAAAACUAUAUUUCUACAAGGGCUUCUGGAGUGAAACGUCAAGGGCCAGUGGAAAUAUAUUGUUGGGGUUCAGGAAUCGCCACACAAACUGAAAAGAGUGAAUUGGCCUGAUGGAAUUGGGCUCCUGAGUGCAGGAAUUUGUUCAAUAAAUGCUGUUUGCUGUUGCAUAGUA
rnacentral:lncRNA from 1 species